GGGGACGUUUUGGAUUUGACAGGACGUUUGGUUGGAAUAAGCUGCGAGUCCGAGUGCUGUUCUCGGUUAUCAACGAGCACACUAAAUUAAAUGCUAACAAUGUAAUUAAAGCAGACUUCUCUAGAGCACAAGCUUUAGCAGCAUAAGUCAGCUCCUAGCUACUCAUAUAGCCCAGCUUGCCGGUUAUAUGGGUCCACUAUGCAAGCGGCAGUGCAUUUAUGACGGUAGAUGCAUCAAGACAACCGUUAAAGGUUAGUGUUUCCGUAAAAAACACUUUGGAUUGUUUAUAAAGGUUUUGAUAUUCCCUGAAUAAUCCGAGCGAAUUAAUAUCUACACUCGUAGACGUUUGUUUAGAUCCGUUUUGGACAGGGGUUCGACUCCCCUCGUCUCCACCA
rnacentral:tmRNA from 1 species